rnacentral:ncRNA from 2 species
AUAUCAAAUAUAAACAUAACUCAUAUAUCCCCUGAAUAUGGCAGGGAGUAUCUACCGGGAGCCGCAAAUUCCUGACUAUGAGUGAGAAUAGACGUGUA